rnacentral:rRNA from 1 species
UAGUCCACGCCGUAAACGAUGAGCACUAGUUUUCGGGUAAAGCAUUAUUCGGAGACGCAGUUAACGCAUUAAGUGCUCCGCCUGGGGAGUACGGCCGCAAGGCUAAAACUCAAAGGAAUUGACGGGGACCUGCACAAGCGGUGGAUUAUGUGGUUUAAUUCGAAGCAACGCGAAGAACCUUACCUAGGUUUGAAAUCCUACGAAUCCUUCUGAAAAGAGGGAGUGCCCUUCGGGGAAUGUAGUGACAGGUGCUGCAUGGCUGUCGUCAGCUCGUGUUGUGAAAUGUUGGGUUAAGUCCCGCAACGAGCGAAACCCCUAUCCUUAGUUGCCAGCAUUUAGUUGGGCAUUCUAGGGAUACAGCCGAGGUUAACUCGGAGGAAGGUGGGGAUAACGUCAAGUCCUCAUGGCCCUUAUACCUAGGGCUACACACGUAAUACAAUGGAUAGUACAGAGGGAAGCGACCCAGUGAUGGUAAGCAAAAUCUCAAAAAGCUCUUCUCAGUCCGGAUUGAAGUCUGCAACUCGACUU